UACAGAGGUCUCAAGCGUUGUUCGGAUUCAUUGGGCGUAAAGGGUGUGUAGGUGGCGCCGUAAGUCGGGUGUGAAAUUUCGGAGCUUAACUCCGAAACUGCAUUCGAUACUGCGGUGCUUGAGGACUGGAGAGGAGACUGGAAUUCAUGGUGUAGCAGUGAAAUGCGUAGAGAUCAUGAGGAAGACCAGUGGCGAAGGCGGGUCUCUGGACAGUUCCGUGACGCUGAGGCGCGAAGGCCAGGGGAGCAAACGGG
rnacentral:rRNA from 1 species